rnacentral:rRNA from 3 species
CAACUUUCAGCAACGGAUCUCUUGGCUCUCGCAUCGAUGAAGAACGCAGCGAAAUGCGAUAAGUAAUGUGAAUUGCAGAAUUCAGUGAAUCAUCGAAUCUUUGAACGCACCUUGCGCUCCUUGGUAUUCCGAGGAGCAUGCCUGUUUGA